CGAGGCGGUUACGUGUGCUUCA
rnacentral:siRNA from 1 species